GCUGCUGUUCUAGUUUGAAGGUCAUGGAGCUGAAGACCCAGGGAAAAGUUGGUGCUGCCAUUCAAGUCUGAAUAUCGUGGAGCUGGAGACCCAGAAAGGAACCGGUGCUGCUGUUCUAGUUUGAGGGUCAUGGAGCUGGAGACCAGGGGAAGAGCCGGAUUGCUGUCGAAGUCUGAGGGUCGUGGAGCUGGAGACGUGGGGAGAAGCUGGUGUUGCCAUUCAAGUCUGAAGAUAGGAGAGCUGGAGACCCAGAAAGGAGCUGGUGCUGCUGUUCAAGUCUGAGGGUCAUGGAGCUGGAGACCCAGAAAGGAAAUGGUGCUACUCUUCGAGUUUGAGGGUCAUGGAGCUAGAGACUGGGGGAGGAGCUACCGUUCGAGUGGCGGCUCCCUGGGUCUCCAGCUCCAAGAUGCUCAAACUUGAACAGCGGUAGCACCAGCUCCUCCCCGGGUCUCCAGUUCCAUGACCCUCAGACUUGAAGAGUAGCACCAUUGCCUUUCUGGGUCUCCAGCUCCAUGAUCCUCAGACUUGAGGAGCUGGAGACCCAGGGAGGAGCCGGUGCUGCUGUUCCUGUUUGAGGGUCAUGGAGCUGGAGACCUGGGGAGAAGCUGGUGCUGCUGUUCAAGUCUGAAGAUAGUGGAGCUGGAGACCCAGAAAGGAGUUGGCACUGCUGUUCAAGUCUGAGGGUCGUGGAGCUGGAGACCCAGAAAGGAAAUGGUGCUAGUCUUCAAGUUUGAUGGUCAUGGAGCUGGAGAUAUGGGGAGGAGUCAGUGCUGCUGUUCUAGUUUGAGGGUCUGGGAUCUGGUGACCCGGGGAGGAGCCAGUGCUGCAGUUCAGGUUUGAGGGUCAUGGAGGUGCUGACCCAGGGAGGAGCUGGUGCUGCUUUUUAAAUUUGAGGGUCGUGGAGCUGGGGAUCUGGGGAAAAGCCAGUGCUGCUGUUUUAUUUUCAGGGUCACGGAGCUAAAGACCCGGGAAGGAGCUGGUACUGCAGUUCAAGUUUGAGGUUCGUGGAGCUGGAUAUCUGGGCAGGAGUCAGUGCUCCUGUUCUAGUUUGAGGGUCUGUAGCUGGGGACCUCUGGAGGAGCCGGUGCUGUUGUUUAAGGUUUGUGGAGCUGGAGACCUGGGUGGAGCUGUUGCUGCGGUUCAAGCUUGAGGGUCAUGGAGCUGGAGACCUGGCAAGAAGUCAGUGCUGCUGUUCUAGUUUGAGAGUCUUGGAGCUGGUGACCUGGGUAGGAGCCGGUCUGCUGUUCUAGUUUUAGGGUCUUGGAGUUGGUGACCUGGGGAGGAGCAGGUGUUGCUGUAAUAGUUAGGGUCGUGAAACUGAACACCUGGGGAGGAGCCAGUGCUGCUGUUCACAUUUGAGGGUCAUGGGAGCUGGAGACUUUGUGGCGAGCUAGUGCUGCCAUUCAAGUUUGAUGAUGGUGGAGCUGGAGACCUGGGUUGGAGCCAGUUCUGCUUUUUAAAUUUGAAGGUCAUGAGGCUGGAGACCUGGGCAGGAAUUGGUGCUGCUGUUCAAGUAUAAGGGUCAUGGAGCUGGAGACUCAGGAAGGAUCAAGUGCUGCAGUUCACGUGUCGUGGAGCUGGAGACCCGGGGAGGAACGGGUGCCCCAGUUCAAGUUUGAGGGUCAUGAAGCUGGAGACACAGGGAGGAGCAACAGUUUGAGGGAUGAGUGGCUGGAGACCUGGAGAGGAGCCAGUGUUGCAAUUCAAGUUUGAGUUUCAUGGAGCUGGAAACCUGGACAGGAGUCAGUGUGGCUAUUCUAGUUUGAAAGUCUUGGAGCUGGUGACCUGGACAGGAGUCAGUGUGGCUAUUCUAGUUUGAGAGUCUUGGAGCUGGUGACCUGGGCAGGAGUCAGUGCUGCUGUUCUGGUUUGAGGGUCUUGGAGCUGGUGACCUGGGCAGGAGUCAGUGCUGCUGUUCUGGUUUGAGGAUCUUGGAGCUGGUGAGCCAGGGAGGAGCUGGUGCUGCUGUUGUAGUUAGUGUCGGGGAGCUGGAGACUUUGGGUUGAGCCGCUGUUGUAGUUCAAGUUUGAUGUUCCUGGAGAUGGAGAUUGGUGGUGGGGGGGAGUCAGUGUUUCUUUUCUAGUUUCAAGGUCGUGGAGCUGGAGAACUGGAGAGGAGAUGGUGCUGCUAUUCUAGUUUGAGGGUCUGUAGCUGGGGACCUGCAGAGGAGCUGGUGCUGCUAUUUUAGUUUAAGGUCCCUGGAGCUGGAGACCUGGGCGGAGCUGUUGCUGUAGUUCCAGUGUGAGGGUCGUGGAGCUGGAGACCUGGUGAGAAAUCAGUGCUGCUGUUCUAGUUUAACAGUCUUGGAGCUGGUGUCCUGAGUAGGAGCCGGUCUGCUGUUCUAGUUUUAGGGUCUUGGAGCUGGCAACCUGGGGAGGAGCGGGUGUUGCUGUAAGAGUUAGGGUUGUGAAGCUGAAGACCUGGGGAGGAGCCAAUGCUGCUCUUCAUGUUUUAGGGUCGUGGGGCUGGAGACUUUGGGAGGAGCUAGUGCUGCCGUUCAAGUUUGACGAUGGUGGAGCUGGAGACCUGGGUUAGAGCCAGGGCUGCUUUUUAAAUUUGAGGUUCGUGGAGCUGGAGACCUAGAGAGGAGCUGGUGCUGCUGUUUUAUUUUCAGGGUCAUGGAUCAUGAGACCCAGGAAGGAGCUGGUGCUGGAGUUCAAGUUGGAGGCGUGGAGAUGGAGACUUUGGUUGGAGCUGGUGCUGCUGUUCUAGUUUGAGGGUCGUGAAGCUGGAGAACCAGGGAGGAGGUGGUGCUGCAGUUCAAGUUUGAGGUUCAUGGAGCUGGAAACCUGGGCAGGCGUCAGUGCUGCUGUACUAGUUUGAGAGUCUUGGAGCUGGUGACCUGCAGAGGAGCUGGUGCUGCUAUUACAGUUAGCAUCCUGGAGCUGGAGAAUUUGGGUGGAGCCAGUGUUGCAACUCAAGUUUGAUGGUCGUGGAGAUGGAGACCUGGGAUUGGGGAGCCAGUGUUGCUAUUGUAGUUUGAGGGUCGUGGAGCUGGAGACGCGGGAAGGAGUUGGUACUGAAGUUUAACUUUGAGGUUCGUGGAGCUGGAUAUGUGGGCAGAAGUCAGUGCUCCUGUUUAGUUUGAGGGUCUGUAGCUGGGGACCUGGGGAGGAGCAAGUGCUGCAGUUCAAGUUUAAGGGUCGUGGAGUUGGAGAUUUGGCGAGAAGUUAAGGCUGCUGUUCUAGUUUGAGAGUCUCGGAGCUGGUGACCUGGGUAGAAGCUGGUCUGCUGUUCUAGUUUUAGAGUCUUGGAGCUGUUGACCCCGGAAGAGCGGGUGGUGCUGUUAUAGUUAGGGUCGUGAAGCUGAAGACCAGGGGAGGAGCCGGUGCUGCUGUUUGAGAGUGGCGGAUAUUGAGACUCGGGGAGGAGCGGGUGCUGGAGUUCUAGUUUGAGGUGGGGAGCUGGAGACUUUGGGUGGAGCUGGUGCUGCUGUAGUUUGAGGGUCUGUAGAUGGGGACCUCGGGAGGAGCUGGUGCUGCUGUUUUAGUUUAAGGUGUGGAGCUGGAGACUUUAGGUGGAGCUGGUGCUGCUGUUCUUCUUGUUUGAGGGUCUGUAGCUGGGGACCUGGGGAGGAGCCAGUGCUGCUGUUUUCGUUUAAGGUCUGUGGAGCCGGAGACCCAGGAAGGAGCUGGUGG
rnacentral:lncRNA from 1 species